rnacentral:rRNA from 1 species
GACGAACGCUGGCGGCGUGCUUAACACAUGCAAGUCGAACGGUAAGGCCCUUCGGGGUACACGAGUGGCGAACGGGUGAGUAACACGUGGGUGAUCUGCCCUGCACUUCGGGAUAAGCCUGGGAAACUGGGUCUAAUACCGGAUAGGACCACUGCCUGCAUGGGUGGUGGUGGAAAGCUUUUGCGGUGUGGGAUGGGCCCGCGGCCUAUCGGCUUGUUGGUGGGGUGACGGCCCACCAAGGCGACGACGGGUAGCCGGCCUGAGAGGGUGACCGGCCACACUGGGACUGGGAUAAGGCCCAGACUCCUACGGGAGGCAGCAGUGGGGAAUAUUGCACAAUGGGCGCAAGCCUGAUGCAGCGACGCCGCGUGAGGGAUGACGGCCUUCGGGUUGUAAACCUCUUUCAGCACCGACGAAGCGCAAGUGACGGUAGGUGCAGAAGAAGGACCGGCCAACUACGUGCCAGCCGCCGCGGUAA